rnacentral:rRNA from 1 species
UACGUAGGGGGCUAGCGUUGUCCGGAAUCAUUGGGCGUAAAGCGCGUGUAGGCGGCCCGGUAAGUCCGCUGUAAAAGUCGGGGGCUCAACCCUCGAAAGCCGGUGGAUACUGUCGGGCUUGAGUACGGAAGAGGCGAGUGGAAUUCCCAGUGUAGCGGUGAAAUGCGUAGAUAUUGGGAGGAACACCAGUGGCGAAGGCGGCUCACUGGACCGGAACUGACGCUGAGGCGCGAAAGCGUGGGGAGCAAACAGG